rnacentral:rRNA from 1 species
AACGAACGCUGGCGGCAGGCCUAACACAUGCAAGUCGAGCGCGCCCUUCGGGGUGAGCGGCGGACGGGUGAGUAACGCGUGGGAACGUGCCCUUCUCUGCGGAAUAGCCUCGGGAAACUGAGAGUAAUACCGCAUACGCUCUUUGGGGGAAAGAUUUAUCGGGGAAGGAUCGGCCCGCGUUGGAUUAGGUAGUUGGUGGGGUAAUGGCGCAUCAAGCCGACGAUCCAUAGCUGGUUUGAGAGGAUGACCAGCAACACUGGGAAUGAGACACGGCCCAGCAUCCGACGGGAGGCAGCAGUGGGGUGUCUUAGACAAUGGGGGCAACCCUGAUCAAGCCAUGCCGCGUGAGUGAGGAAGGCCUUAGGGUUGUAAAGCUCUUUCAGCUGGGAAGAUAAUGACGGUACCAGCAGAAGAAGCCCCGGCUAACUCCGUG